CUCUCAUAAAGACGCGAACUACUCGAUUCUCACAGCUCUAUCAAAUCCCGGUGAAUUCGGAUUCGAUACUCUUCGGAAUCUUCUGUAGCUAGAAUCUUUGUUGAUCAAGGGAGCUUUGCAAAGAGUUUGUCUCAUAAUGAUGCCUGUAAUUGAGCUGGAGCAUGGAUGGUCCUUAAUGGAAACUGGUGUUUCAAAGGUAAAAAGGAUUCUCGAAGGAUGUCCUGAGAACUUUUCGGGGGAAGAAUACAUCGGUAUAUACACGACUAUCUACGAUAUGUGCAUCCAGAAGGUUCCUAACGAGUUCUCUCAGCAGCUUUAUGAUAAAUAUGCUGAUGUUAUUAACGUUUAUAAUACGG